CCAACAGAGGGAAGCGAGACGGUGACGUUAAGCAAAUCCCAGAAAUAACGUCCCAGUUCGGAUUGUAGUCUGCAACCCGACUACAUGAAGCUGGAAUCGCUAGUAAUCGCGAAUCAGAAUGUCGCGGUGAAUACGUUCCCGGGUCUUGUACACACCGCCCGUCACACCAUGGGAGUCGGAAAUGCCCGAAGUCAGUGACCCAACCGUAAGGAGGGAGCUGCCGAAGGUGGAGCCGGUAACUGGGGUGAAGUCGUAACAAGGUAUC
rnacentral:rRNA from 1 species